rnacentral:tRNA from 1 species
GGGUAUUUAGCUCAGUGGCAUAAGCGCCUGCCUUGCAAGCAGGCAGUCGUGAGUUCGACCCCUGGUACCGA